rnacentral:rRNA from 1 species
UGCCAGCCGCCGCGGUAACACGGGGGGCGCAAGCGUUAUUCGGAAUUAUUGGGCGUAAAGGGCGCGCAGGCGGCUUGAUAAGUCGGGUGUGAAAUCCCGGGGCUCAACCCCGGAACUGCAUUCGAAACUGUCUCGCUUGAAUACGGGAGAGGGAAGCGGAAUUCCUGGUGUAGAGGUGAAAUUCGUAGAUAUCAGGAGGAACACCAGUGGCGAAAGCGGCUUCCUGGCCCGAUAUUGACGCUCAUGUACGAAAGCGUGGGGAGCGAACAGGAUUAGAUA